GAAACGAGAAUAAAGCGUGAAGGAUAACGUUGCGUCAGCAACGGCCCGUAGGGCGAGGCGAAGCCGAGUCAUCCUGCACAACCCACCA
rnacentral:sRNA from 1 species